CGCACACGAUCCCCUCUCCUCUUCUCCCCCAACUGCGCGCGUUGAUUCUGCAAUGGCUCCCACUUCGCCCCACUCCGCCACUCCUUCGUUUCUGGCUCCCCCAUCUCUUCCCCCUUAGGUGAAUCGAGGCGGAAUCGCGGGCAACUCUGCUUCUUCCACGGCGAAUCGAGGCAGGGGCCGCGGUUGCUUCUGUGGCAGUCGGCGACCCAAUUCCUGCCGGGUGUGCUCUUUAUUUGCUCUUAAUGAUGGGGAGUUCAGAAGUUACCUAUGAAGAUAUUUUCCGGAGUGGACAUCCCCGCCGCCAGCAUCGUUGGAGUACGCCAUGGACCAAUAGGGCGUGUCACCAACGUUCAAUACAAGACAAAAUCGAACGGACGCAUAUCCUUCUAUGAGUCCGGCUGGCAGGAGUUCUUGACGGGAAAGAGAGAAUUAAGGCUAGACACCCUUGUGAUAAGCACCAUAAGGAAGAGCAGCCGCAACGACUUUCAGAUGAUGGUUGCCGUCGACCAUGUUUAGAAAUAUGGUUUAAGUCAUGAAUAUAUCAACAGCUGAAGUGUUAGUUAAUUAGUAUGUUAAUA
rnacentral:rRNA from 1 species